UACGGAGGGUGCAAGCGUUAUCCGGAUUCACUGGGUUUAAAGGGUGCGUAGGUGGGUCUGUAAGUCAGUGGUGAAAUCUCCGAGCUUAACUUGGAAACUGCCAUGGAUACUAUAGGUCUUGAAUACUGUGGAGGUUAGCGGAAUAUGUCAUGUAGCGGUGAAAUGCUUAGAUAUGACAUAGAACACCAAUUGCGAAGGCAGCUGGCUACACAAAUAUUGACACUGAUGCACGAAAGCGUGGGGAUCAAACAGG
rnacentral:rRNA from 1 species